rnacentral:lncRNA from 1 species
UUCCAAUAAAAUACUAAGGAACUAACCCCACACAUCAUUGCCGGCUUAAAAUGGAAGAAUGCAAAUAAAGUUACUUGGAAGAUUCACAAUAGUAUCCUUUAUUACUCACUGCAUCUUCUCUUGACUAUAUGUGUGAAAGCCUCUGGAUUCUCCCCAACAAGCACUUGUUUUUCUAUCUCCAUUUGUACUGGGAAUUAUUGCCACAUAUAAUCAUCUCCAUUUUAAAUAUCUUAUUUUGAAAUAUUCGAAGACAUUUGAUAUCAUCAUAGGCAUAAUUUUUCAAUGAGGUUAGAUAGCAAAAAAUAUAUAUUUAUAUUAUUUAUAUGAUUAUAUGAUAUGAAGCAGCUGAGCUAGCCAAGCUAGCCACCAACUGAAACAACCACCACCCACCUAUAAAGCUGCUGGUAUUUGUACACAAAAAUCAAAUUCAACUAUAUGACUCCAUAGUAGUAAUAGUAGCAAAAUUAGCAACAUCAACUAUACCUCAAUAACACACAUGCAUUAAUUAGUACUAUACGGACUAGAAAAAACCUAGAGGAUGAAUAUGAAUUCAUUAAUUUAAUCAUUUUCUUCUGCCAAUUUUCAAAGUAUUUGAAUAGAUACCCUUUUAAGAGAUGGUGGUGAAUGAAUAUCAUGAGAGAAACAGGUGAUG